AAAUUGAAGAGUUUGAUCAUGGCUCAGAUUGAACGCUGGCGGCAGGCCUAACACAUGCAAGUCGAACGGUAACAGAAAGCAGCUUGCUGCUUUGCUGACGAGUGGCGGACGGGUGAGUAAUGUCUGGGAAACUGCCUGAUGGAGGGGGAUAACUACUGGAAACGGUAGCUAAUACCGCAUAACGUCGCAAGACCAAAG
rnacentral:rRNA from 1 species